rnacentral:misc_RNA from 1 species
CUGCAUGGAUUCAAGCAUACAGGUGGGUUGGUUUCUAUAGGCCUCUUUUUCAUACAAACCCGUGUGAAAAUUGGAAACAAAAAUGUGCAGUGAGUCAGUGCUGUAGUGAUUGCAGAAAGUGAAUGAAUAAAUGCAAAAAGUGAAUGAAAUAUAUAGAAAUUAUGUAAGACAUGAAAACUUGUAACUUAUUGUGACACUGUUCACUAUCCUAGCAAAACACUUUACACGGCAAAUUUCCAUUU